rnacentral:rRNA from 1 species
UGGGGAAUAUUGGGCAAUGGGGCGCAAGCCUGACCCAGCAACGCCGCGUGGAGGAAGAAGGUUUUCGGAUCGUAAACUCCUGUCCUUGGUGAAGAGGAGAAGACGGUAGCCAAGGAGGAAGCCCCGGCUAACUACGUGCCAGCAGCCGCGGUAAUACGUAGGGGGCAAGCGUUGUCCGGAAUGAUUGGGCGUAAAGGGCGCGUAGGCGGCUCUGUAAGUCUGGAGUGAAAGUCCUGCCUUCAAGGUGGGAAUUGCUUUGGAUACUGCAGGGCUUGAGUGCAGGAGAGGUCAUUGGAAUUCCCAGUGUAGCGGUGAAAUGCGUAGAGAUUGGGAGGAACACCAGUGGCGAAGGCGAGUGACUGGACUGUAACUGACGCUGAGGCGCGAAAGUGUGGGGAGCAAACAGGAUUAGAU